GACACUCGUAUGUCCCGUUGUCGAUGCUGCUCACAUUCUUCAGAGUUAAAGACACGUCUCCGUCCUUCAGAUCUCUGUCCACCAGCUUCACCCUGUCCUUAAAGGAUGGAUGCUGGUCUGGUGUCUUCAG